rnacentral:rRNA from 1 species
UGGGGAAUUUUGGACAAUGGGGGGAACCCUGAUCCAGCAACGCCGCGUGAAUGAAGAAGGCCUUAGGGUUGUAAAGUUCUUUUAUCUGGGAGCAAAAUGUGUAUGUUAAGAGCAUAUAUAGAUGAGAGUACCAGAAGAAUAAGCACCGGCUAACUACGUGCCAGCAGCCGCGGUAAUACGUAGGGUGCGAGCGUUAAUCGGAAUUACUGGGCGUAAAGGGUGCGUAGGCGGAUAUGUAAGUUAGAUGUGAAAUACCUGGGCUUAACCUGGGAGGUGCAUUUAAGACUGCAAGUCUAGAGUUUGUCAGAGGGGGGUAGAAUUCCAAGUGUAGCAGUGAAAUGCGUAGAGAUUUGGAGGAAUACCAAUGGCGAAGGCAGCCCCCUGGGAUAGAACUGACGCUGAGGCACGAAAGCGUGGGUAGCAAACAGG